rnacentral:rRNA from 1 species
GGUAGCAUAAUCAGUAGUCUUUUAAUUGAAGGCUGGAAUGAAUGGUCGCAUAAAAGAUGAGCUGUCUCUUUUGUAAAUCUUGAAUUUAACUUUUCGGUGAAAAGGCCUAAAUGAACUGGAGGGACGAUAAGACCCUAUAAAACUUAACAUAAAUCUUAUUAGGUAGUGAAUUAUUAAUAAUACAAUCUUUUAUAGUUUAUGUUGUAUUGGGGCGAUACAGAUAUAAAAUUUAAGUAACUGUCUUGAAAAAUUUAUAAUAAUACUUGAUCCUUCUUUGAAGAUUAAAAGAAUAAGUUACUUUAGGGAUAACAGCGUAAUUUUCUCUGAGAGUUCUUAUCGACGAGUGUAGUUGCGACCUCGAUGUUGAAUUAAAAUUUUUGUUAGAUGUAGCAGUUUAACCGGUGGGUCUGUUCGACCUUUAAAAUUUUACAUGAUUUGAGUUCAAACCGGUGUGAG